rnacentral:lncRNA from 10 species
AGAAAGCCCUGGGGGUGGGGGCGUGGAAGCAAAAGACAGCGGGUCUCUGCGAGUCACUCUUGUUCAGUCUCAGGACCCUGGGAGACACUCAUGGUUUCCUGGGCUUUUUCCCAGGAAUUUGGCAUUGAACUUGAUGUUAAUCUGAGGGAGUUUCCAGUUCCUGGCUGCGAGGCUGGAUGAGGACACGUGGCCCCGAGGCACAGAGAGCCCAGGGCUGUGGGCAGAGAAGAGUCAGAGCCUCAGGGGCCUCGCCCUGUCCAGAACUCCACGUGACAUGACGCCCCACAGAGCGAACCUCUGACAAACAAGCAUGGGGCCCGUGUUGCCCUAGUGGAUGGAAAUGGACGUGGGAAGCAAGCAAGAUGCAUGUAAAUAAAUGGAUUCCACAGAAGAGUGAGGCCUCAUCUCAGCCUGCUGCCUGGGCACUGAAACUCACCCUGAGCUGUCUCAUUAGCCCAGAAUCUUGCACUUGGAAGACAGUAGAUCAACGUCUUCUCGCUCUACAGGUCACCACCCUCAGACUUUGUCUUCAGGAAGAAAUGCUUCCAGAGAACAUCACCUAAGAACAAGGGCAUUCUCUUACAUAACCACAGCAUAAUUACCAAAAUCAGAAACUUGGGCCAGCUCCUGUUCAGUUCAAACUGGUUGAGACCACUGACACUUCAACGGAGCCUGUGCAAGUGCCCGAGAGGUGGCCUUUUGACUUCAGAAGGCCCAAAGUUCCACCCUUAUGUUAUGCUAAUGCCGCCUUUCUAUACAUAUGUCCUAUGAAAUACUGUGAACCCUGUGCAGAAAGAACCUGUUACUUCAUUUUCCCCCACUGCCAAUCACCUUUCCUCACCCUGUGUCCCUAACCCAUAAAUAUCCCUCAGCCUUAUCUUCAGGGAAGUGGAUUUGAAAACUAUUCUCCCACCUCCGCACUUGGUGUCCUUGGGAAUAAAUUCUUUCCCUCUUACAAAACUA